rnacentral:rRNA from 1 species
CAUAGGUUAACGAGGCGAACCGGGGGAACUGAAACAUCUAAGUACCCCGAGGAAAAGAAAUCAACCGAGAUUCCCCCAGUAGCGGCGAGCGAACGGGGAGCAGCCCAGAGUCUGAAUCAGCUUGUGUGUUAGUGGAACGGUCUGGAAAGUCCGACGGUACAGGGUGAUAGUCCCGUACACCAAAAUGCACAGGCUGUGAACUCGAAGAGUAGGGCGGGACACGUGGUAUCCUGUCUGAAUAUGGGGGGACCAUCCUCCAAGGCUAAAUACUCCUGACUGACCGAUAGUGAACCAGUACCGUGAGGGAAAGGCGAAAAGAACCCCGGCGAGGGGAGUGAAAAAGAACCUGAAACCGUGUACGUACAAGCAGUGGGAGCACCUUCGGGUGUGACUGCGUACCUUUUGUAUAAUGGGUCAGCGACUUAUAUUCUGUAGCAAGGUUAACCGUAUAGGGGAGCCGCAGGGAAACCGAGUCUUAACUGGGCGUUAAGUUGCAGGGUAUAGACCCGAAACCCGGUGAUCUAGCCAUGGGCAGGUUGAAGGUUGGGUAACACUAACUGGAGGACCGAACCGACUAAUGUUGAAAAAUUAGCGGAUGACUUGUGGCUGGGGGUGAAAGGCCAAUCAAACCGGGAGAUAGCUGGUUCUCCCCGAAAGCU